rnacentral:rRNA from 1 species
CCUACGGGUGACAGCAGUGAGGAAUAUUGGUCAAUGGGCGCGAGCCUGAACCAGCCAAGUAGCGUGAAGGAUGACUGCCCUACGGGUUGUAAACUUCUUUUAUAAAGGAAUAAAGUGCGUCACGUGUGCCUUUUUGUAUGUACUUUAUGAAUAAGGAUCGGCUAACUCCGUGCCAGCAGCCGCGGUAAUACGGAGGGUCCGAGCGUUAUCCGGAUUUAUUGGGUUUAAAGGGAGCGUAGAUGGGUUGUUAAGUCAGUUGUGAAAGUUUGCGGCUCAACCGUAAAAUUGCAAUUGAUACUGGCAGGCUUGAGUACAGGUAAGGUAGGCGGAAUUCGUGGUGUAGCGGUGAAAUGCUUAGAUAUCACGAAGAACUCCGAUUGCGAAGGCAGCUUACUAAACUGCCACUGACAUUGAUGCUCGAAAGUGUGGGUAUCAAACAGGAUUAGAUACCCGGGUAGUC